AGAGUUUGAUCAUGGCUCAGAACGAACGCUGGCGGCAGGCCUAACACAUGCAAGUCGAGCGCUUCACUUCGGUGAGGAGCGGCGGACGGGUUAGUAACGCGUGGGAAUAUACCCAGUUCUAAGGGAUAGCGACUGGAAACGGUGAGUAAUACCUUAUACGCCCUUCGGGGGAAAGAUUUAUCGGAAUUGGAUUAGCCCGCGUUAGAUUAGAUAGUUGGUGAGGUAACGGCUCACCAAGUCUACGAUCUAUAGCUGGUUUGAGAGGAUGAUCAGCAACACUGGGACUGAGACACGGCCCAGACUCCUACGGGAGGCAGCAGUGGGGAAUCUUGGACAAUGGGCGCAAGCCUGAUCCAGCCAUGCCGCGUGAGUGAUGAAGGCCUUAGGGUCGUAAAACUCUUUCGCCAGGGAUGAUAAUGACAGUACCUGGUAAAGAAACCCCGGCUAACUCCGUGCCAGCAGCCGCGGUAAUACGGAGGGGGUUAGCGUUGUUCGGAAUUACUGGGCGUAAAGCGUACGUAGGCGGAUUAGAAAGUUAGGGGUGAAAUCCCAGGGCUCAACCCUGGAACUGCCUUUAAAACUCCUAGUCUAGAGGUCGAGAGAGGUGAGUGGAAUUCCAAGUGUAGAGGUGAAAUUCGUAGAUAUUUGGAGGAACACCAGAGGCGAAGGCGGCUCACUGGCUCGAUACUGACGCUGAGGUACGAAAGUGUGGGGAGCAAACAGGAUUAGAUACCCUGGUACUCCACACCGUAAACGAUGAAUGCCAGACGUCAGCAAGCAUGCUUGUUGGUGUCACACCUAACGGAUUAAGCAUUCCGCCUGGGGAGUACGGUCGCAAGACUAACACUCAAAGAAAUUGACGGGGGCCCGCACAAGCGG
rnacentral:rRNA from 1 species